rnacentral:rRNA from 1 species
UACGAAGGGUGCAAGCGUUACUCGGAAUUACUGGGCGUAAAGCGUGCGUAGGCGGUUUGUUAAGUCCGCUGUGAAAGCCCUGGGCUCAACCUGGGAAUUGCAGUGGAUACUGGCAAGCUAGAGUGCGGUAGAGGAUGGUGGAAUUCCCGGUGUAGCGGUGAAAUGCGCAGAUAUCAGGAAGAACACCCGUGGCUAAGGCGGCUCUCUAGUACGGUACUGACGCUGAGACGCGAAAGCGUGGGGAGCGAACAGG